UAACCUUAGAGAUCACUGCCGAAGUAUCUUUCACAUACUCCUCGUCUUCGGCGGCAGAAGCCGGCGCCGGAGCUAGAAACGGAGUCGAUUGUGCUAGAAGAAGCGUUGAUGUGGCCGAUAGAGAGAGGAAAUCGCGGCGGAGGAGAUGGUGACGCCGCGGAGGAGGAAUAGACGGAGGAGAUACGGAGGCGGUGAUGAUCGGUUUAUGCGGCGGAGGAUUAGGUUUGAGAAGAGUAGCUGUCGCUGAAGCUGAAGCCAUUGUCGGGACUCGGGGCCGGAAAGGUGUAAGAGAGUGAAGAGUUUUGUUGUGUGUUAGUAAUUAGGAAAAAAAUGUUUUGGGGGUGUUGGAUUUUUGACGCGUGUCCCUUAUCUUCUUAUCUAGAUUGUAAGGUUUUUGAGGAUGAGACAUGGAAGAUUUAAGUCCAACAAGCAAUGAAAUCUCCUAGAUGAAGAUCUUCUGUGGGUCACACUGCCAGGUCAAGAUUUGGUUUAUUCUUUUAAAGUUUGGGUUUCAUUUGCAAUGUAGGCCCAUAAGUUCAAAGUAUAUUUAUUACUGAA
rnacentral:lncRNA from 1 species